rnacentral:rRNA from 1 species
CCAAUAGCGUAUAUUAAAGUUGUUGCAGUUAAAAAGCUCGUAGUUGAAUUUCAGGAUCAAUGCGUCGGUCGUGCCUCGGUACGUACUAACGAUAUUGAUUUCUCCCUUCUGACGAACCGUGAUGUCAUUAAUUUGGUGUUACGGGGAGUUAGGACUGUUACUUUGAAAAAAUUAGAGUGUUUAAAGCAAGCAAUCGCUCGAAUACAUUAGCAUGGAAUAAUGAAAUAGGACGUUCGAACCUAUUUUGUUGGUUUCUAGGAUCGACGUAAUGAUUAAUAGGGUUGGUUGGGGGCAUUAGUAUUCAAUGGUCAGAGGUGAAAUUCUUGGAUUUAUUGAAGACUAACUACUGCGAAAGCAUUUGCCAAGGAUGUUUUCAUUAAUCAAGAACGAAAGUUAGGGGAUCGAAGACGAUCAGAUACCGUCGUAGUCUUAACCAUAAACUAUGCCGACUAGGGAUCGGAUGAUGUUAAUUUUUUAAUGAAUCAUUCGGCGCCUUACG